UGAUAAACCUUAGCUGUGUGCACAGC
rnacentral:piRNA from 1 species